rnacentral:lncRNA from 1 species
AAAAAUUAUAAGCUGAGUAUAAUAUAUUAGAACGUAGCAUUAUAAUAUGGUAAAACAGUUUAAGGAAGUACUAAAAGUUAUAAUAUUUACAGUCAUCCAAAGGGAUUAUAAAAUUAAAAACUUUAAGUACAUAAGAAGUCUUUCAAAUAAUGGAAAAAAUCUAAGAGUAAUAAUAUAAACUAGGUGUUGCAUAUAAGCUACAAAGUUUUUCAAAAUAUAGAAAGGAGUCUAAUAGAAAGAGUCCUAAGAGGUAGUGGUUGGAUCCUCUGGCUCCAAAGCUUGCUCUAGGGGAACAUCUUCUGCCUCUGCUCAUAUCCAAAGGAUUGGAUGAUCAUUGCAAGGAAGAAGACAAACACAUACAACACAUACAAAUGCAAGGGUAAGUUAGGUUGAAAAACAUGCAAGAUAAGUCCAAAUAUAAACUAACAUAUACAUAACAGCAUGCACACAAGCAAUCAAGUAAACAUGCUAUCAGAUUAUACAUUAAAUGGAACUAACUAUCAUGUUAUACAAUCACACACAGCAUGCAAAAACCAUAACACAAUACAUACUAAGACCGAAUGCAUUUUGUUGAUACCAAUGACCGACCGCGUGAUUUGACCAUCCAGACUAGUAUGAAAUGUCGAGUUCCAAGGGUUUGUGCACUUGUUAUGGCCCUACUGCUUUGCAAAGUCAUUGCCGAGGGGUUUCACCCAACCACACACAAAUGUAAGCCCUUUACCGAAUAAUAGGCCUCCACGUAGCACCUACUACUAGGACCUCCUGCUAUUCUCACCACAUGACUCAUCACUUUCUAAUUGAGCAUAGAUGGUCAUUAGAAUGUCAGGAUAAACCCCAUCCCGAACUCCGUCCAUUCAUACGGUCAAUCACAACAACCCAUGGGGCACCACCAUGUAACCUCCCUUGAGGAUCAUGAAAUUAUGUCCAAUAACCAUACUUUUCACUUUUACAUUGCAUACAACAUAUAUUUAUAAUAUUAAUUACACUUCAAAAGACCACAACCAACCCAACAAGUCAUCAAAAAUUGUAUGAAAUCAUUCCAUGUACACUACCAGACAAUAAUAGUUCUAGAAGGACAAUUAAACAAUACAAAACCUAGUGAACUCAUACUUAGACAAGGAAAAUGACUUUAAAACCAUCACCAACAAUUUCGGAAGGGUCAAGAACCCCCAGAACGACCUAAAGAACGUCCAAAACGGACAUCCGGAACUCCCAGAACGUCAAAACCAUUAAAAUCACUCAAUUUGACGUACAAAAUUCGUUGAGCGCACCCCCCUGGUGCGCUGUGCGAAUCUGCAGAUUCUGCAGGUCCGAAUUCUGCAGAUUUGCAGCACUCUACCCUUCCAAACUCGUUCUUAGGCCUCUAGGUGAGUUUCUAACACCUCUAAUUCCAUAUACAUGAUGAAUUAUGCUUGUCUAAAGGGUUACACACUAUCCUAACAUCAAUCUCUAGUAGUUAUACAUUGAUCUAGGAUCUAAUACUUCAAUUUCAUUUACUUAUAGAUUCAAAUUCUAAUUUACCACUUGGAGACUGUUUUGGGCCAUGUUAAUUCUUCUAACAAAUCAAAAUUGACAUGUUUGCACUGCCUAAACUACCCAAUUGCACCUAGGACACCCACAGCCAGAAACCAUUACCUCACUUCCUCUAUUCUAAUUUAAAACACCAUAAACAACUUAACCUUUUAUAUGGUAACCUGUAUAACAGAACUUCAUAGCACCCACACACUCAAUUACAGAAUCAUACCUUGCCUAUAACAGAUUCUCAUCAUACAAUUCAGAAUUUCAUGAUUCACACAUCAUACGACACUUGUUCUAACAUAUAAAUUCAUCCAAAUUUUUCAGUUCAAAUAGAAACAAAGCACCAACACAAUCUCACAUACACCUUGGUUCACAUUUUCCAAAACAAAAAGAAAAAUCUUACUCAUGCAACUCAAUUUAUACUAAACAGAGAAUGAAACCUUACUUCCCUUACCUCAGUCGAAUAGUUCAAGACACAAAAAACCCCCAAACGCUAAAUUUCACCUUAAGGAAAACUAAAAUCACCUGCAGAUUGCAAUUUGGUGAUGAAAAGCAGAUUUUAGGACACGUUUGAAACUAAGAUUUGGGGAAAACGAAAUCAGCUACAUGCAAGCUGAAUCCGCUGCAUGAUCAUAGCCUCAAGACGCAUAGAAGAGAAAAAACACUAACCAGUUAAAGGAAACAGGAAACCAGUCAGUUGAAUGAAAGCCCACACCGUCAAGAUUUCCUAAGCUACACCUGAUUGAGGAACAAAUGACUUAGUAGGGAAAACUUUUCCAGUGAGAAUGCAAAGAGUAAGGGCAUGAAGUCUGUUUGAAGAGCACACACGUUUUUAGACCAAAUGAGAAGCUCUUUUUAAAAUUAGCACUUAAAUAUAUUAGCUAUGUUUCCUCUCCUCACUUGCUGUCACAUGUGCAUUUCCAAG